CGGAUACUGAGACACGGAUCCGACUCCUACGGGAGGCAGCAGUAAGGAAUAUUGGACAAUGCCCGCAAGGGUGAUCCAGCCAUGCCGCGUGCAGGAAGACGGCCCUAUGGGUUGUAAACUGCUUUUAUACAAGAGAAAACCUCCUUACGAGUAGGGAGCUGAUAGUAUUGUAGGAAUAAGCAUCGGCUAACUUCGUGCCAGCAGCCGCGGUAAGACGAAGGAUGCAAGCGUUAUCCGGAUUCAUUGGGUUUAAAGGGAGCGUAGGCGGUCUUAUAAGUCAGUGGUGAAAGCUCUUCGCUUAACGAAGAAAUUGCCAUUGAUACUGUAGGACUUGAGUACAGUUGCUGUGGGCGGAAUAUGACAUGUAGUGGUGAAAUACAUAGAGAUGUCAUAGAACACCGAUUGCGAAGGCAGCUCACAAAACUGUAACUGACGCUGAGGCUCGAAAGUGCGGGGAUCAAACAGGAUUAGAUACCCUGGUAGUCCGCACUGUAAACGAUGAUUACUCGCUGCUAGAGGGUAACUUUUAGUGGCUUAGCGAAAGCGAUAAGUAAUCCACCUGGGGAGUACGCCGGCAACGGUGAAACUCAAAGGAAUUGACGGGGGCCCGCACAAGCGGAGGAGCAUGUGGUUUAAUUCGAUGAUACGCGAGGAACCUUACCUGGGCUUGAAAGUUAGUGACCGUCUCUGAAAGGAGAUUUUCCGCAAGGACACGAAACUAGGUGCUGCAUGGCUGUCGUCAGCUCGUGCCGUGAGGUGUUGGGUUAAGUCCCGCAACGAGCGCAACCCCUAUCGUUAGUUACCAGCGAGUAAUGUCGGGAACUCUAACGAAACUGCCCGUGCAAACGGUGAGGAAGGUGGGGACGACGUCAAGUCAUCACGGCCCUUACGUCCAGGGCUACACACGUGCUACAAUGGUCGGUACAACGGGCAGCUACACUGCGAAGUGAUGCUAAUCUCUAAAAACCGAUCUCAGUUCGGAUUGAAGUCUGCAACUCGACUUCAUGAAGCUGGAUUCGCUAGUAAUCGCGCAUCAGCAAUGGCGCGGUGAAUACGUUCCCGGGCCUUGUACACACCGCCCGUCAAACAAUGGAAGUUGAGGGUAUCUAAAGUCGGUAGCUGCAAGGCGCUGCCUAGGGUAAACUUGAU
rnacentral:rRNA from 1 species